rnacentral:misc_RNA from 1 species
GGAUUGUGUGUGGCGCUCUUCACCGCAUGUGGACUAGAGUAGAUCUAGGAACAUCAGACAAGAAGACACGUAUGUGAAACCCUGCGGAUAGCCCAUAUGUGAACUUUUUUUCCAGAUACGGGGGAACGGACACCGGUCGUGCCGUGAGCACUAUUCUGCAGGGCAUACUUACAAAUGAAACUGCACUGCAGUUCAGCUGGAAAGGGUCGCAGGGGAGGAAGCACGCCUUCGUGAAGCUCAUGGCCAUCACGAAUAUAACAUCUGUGAGGAGCACGUUCCCUGACGCUUCACUAGCAUCAGUGGCUGGAGUCGCAAAACGCUGGUUGGUUGGAGCAGCUGACAGGGAUGGAGGCCGGAAUGAAAGAAGGCGCCGUGACCCUGCUUCAAGCCCACCAAAUAUGAACUAGUGUUUGAAACUUGUGAACGUGUCGGUGUAGAUAU